rnacentral:sRNA from 1 species
UUGUGAUGAACUUCAAAAACAAUAAUUCUAAGUGGAAGACCUAUAAAGGAAUUGUGAAUAAUGAAGAAAAGGUGUUUCAGGGUAACUCUAACUUUCGGGACCCAGUGCAAAACAAUUUCAUCCCUCCCAUCGUGGCCAGAUAUGUGCGGGUUGUCCCCCAGACAUGGCACCAGAGGAUAGCCUUGAAGGUGGAGCUCAUUGGUUGCCAGAUUACACAAGGUAAUGAUUCAUUGGUGUGGCGCAAGACAAGUCAAAGCACCAGUGUUUCAACUAAGAAAGAAGAUGAGACAAUCACAAGGCCCAUCCCCUCGGAAGAAACAUCCACAGGAAGAAGAAGAAAGGAAGUCCGUAUGGAUCAGCAGAGGCUCAGAAAACAGACUGUUGGAAGCAGAUUAAAUAUCCCUUUGCCAGACAUCAGUCAGCUGAGUUUACCAUCAGCUAUGAUAAUGAGAAGGAGAUGACACAAAAGUUAGAUCUCAUCACAAGUGAUAUGGCAGAUUACCAGCAGCCCCUCAUGAUUGGCACCGGGACAGUCACGAGGAAGGGCUCCACCUUCCGGCCCAUGGACAC